UGUCCCUGUGAAGACAUGUUAAUUACCUUCAUGCAAAAUACAUCAAGCUGCUUUUGACAAGCUGAAGUUGACUGAUCAGGCUUUAUAUGGUGCCUGCUAUCUUUUAACCAAAUGAGCUCAACCGGUACUCAGAAAGUUGUGUUUAAUUUGAUUGUCAACUCCAGGUCUUAAUCAAAAAAGGAAAAUGUGCUUGGUUAUUCAAUACAGAGGAAGCUCAGUGAAAGCCCUGGCCCAGCUGUACAGCAGCAGGAUUGGGCUCUGACUCUCUGGCUCAGUUUGUCUCUCUCUAAAGUAUAUGGAAGUGAAUUGCUGAGGGGUUGGUGCAAGGCUUUGUUCCCUAAUGGGCCACAGUCUCAUCCUGCUAAAGUCACCGGACAUUUGGUAACUGGUUGAAGCAAAACCGGCAGGUUGCUGUAAGCUUUACGAAGUUCUUUGAGCGCCUCAGAUGGAGGCACUGAGAAAGUGCCAAGCAAUGCUAUUGCUGCAUUUGCUAACUGACCUUAUUUUUAGAAAUCUAAGCUCAUAUCUUUGGCUGAGGAACUAAGAAGAACGCAACUAAGGGACAUGCUUUUAAAAUGUUUUAGUAGGGAACAAGGAGAUAGAGCAUCCUGAAAACUACUCUAGCUUGUGCCAUUUGCUUUAAGGCAGCAGAUGAUCAGCAGAUGAUCAGCAGCAGGAAAGAAAAA